rnacentral:rRNA from 1 species
UACGUAGGGACCAAGCGUUGUCCGGAUUUAUUGGGCGUAAAGAGCGCGCAGGCGGUCGUCCAAGUCGCGUGUGAAAGCCCCCCGGCUCAACUGGGGAGGGUCACGCGAUACUGGUCGACUCGAAGGCAGGAGAGGGUAGUGGAAUUCCCGGUGUAGUGGUGAAAUGCGUAGAUAUCGGGAGGAACACCAGUGGCGAAGGCGACUACCUGGCCUGUUCUUGACGCUGAGGCGCGAAAGCUAGGGGAGCAAACGGG